rnacentral:tRNA from 1 species
UGUAGCAAAAUAGUGCAUUGGAUUUAAACCCCAAAUAUAAAGUACUCUUUUAUUAGAA